UACGAGGGGUGCAAGCGUUGCUCGGAAUUAUUGGGCGUAAAGGGUAGGUAGGUGGUCUCAUUUGUCUGGGGUGAAAGCCUUGAGCUUAGCUCAAGAAGUGCCCUAGAAACGGUGAGACUGGAGUCUUGGAGAGGGUCGUGGAAUUCCCGGUGUAGCGGUGAAAUGCGUAGAGAUCGGGAGGAACACCAGAGGCGAAGGCGGCGAAUUGGCGCUUUAUUGACGCUCAGGCACGAAAGCAUGGGGAUCAAACAGG
rnacentral:rRNA from 1 species